ACUGGUUGCCUAGCAACAAGCAUCAGGUAUUUUCUGCUGUGGAGUUCCAACUGUCAUUUUUUAAUUUGGGUGCCACAAAUGAGUGUUUAAAUGGUGUGUGGUCGAACUGCCAACUGAGAAACAAUGACGUGAGAAGCCGUACAGAAAAUACCUCAAAGAAGUUAACGCUAAAUUGAGUGGAUCACAUGCCAACACUACCGUCACGAUGGGUCUGGACUGCGAGGGACCGGCGCCGCUGACAACCCAAUCUGCACCCAUCGCAUCCAUCGUCCAUAACAAACAGGGCAGCUGGUCGCUGGUGGAACGUGCAUGUGGCGGAGGUCAGGGUGUUAUUGACCAGGGAGGAUUGUGGGAAAUCCCAGAAAGGAGGACGUGAUGGUGGCGCAAGGAGGAGAUGGGACUUUAGUUUACCCUUGAGAGAACAAUGACAAAUGACGCACACACAAACACACACACACACACACACACACACACACACACACACACACACACAGAGUGGUAACAUCAAGACCUCCAAGGGCAA